AUAAGAGUCUACGGCGGAUGCCUAGGAGCUAUGGGACGAAGAAGGACGUGAUUAGCUGCGAAAAGCCGGGGGUAGGAGCCAAUAUCCGAUGAUCCCCGGAUAUCCGAAUGGGGUAACCCACCGAGUAUGGAUGCUCGGUAUUUAUACAUGAAUCCAUAGUGUAUAGAAGAGAGACGCGGGGAACUGAACCAUCUAAGUACCCGCAGGAAAAGAAAUCAAACGAGAUUCCCUUAGUAGUGGCGAACGAACGGGGAAGAGCCUAAACCGGUGACGUGUAAGUGUCGAUACGUUGCGUUAUCGGGGUUGUGAGGACGUAUUUUAGUACAGAUCGACCUGUGCUGCGCAGUUACAAAAUUUUAUAGGAGUAGAAUUGUCUGGAAAGGCAAGCCAGAGCAGGUGAAAGCCCAGUAUACGAACUAUAAACUCUGCGUGAUAUGUACCUCGAGUACAGCGGGACACGAGAAAUCCUGUUGGAAUCAGGGGGGACCACCCUCCAAGGCUAAAUACCACAUAGCUACCGAUAGCGCAUAGUACCGUGAGGGAAAGGUGAAAAGGACCCCGGGAGGGGAGUGAAAUAGAACCUGAAACCGUAGACUUACAAGCAGUCAGAGCUGGGGUAUAAAAACUCUGGUGAUGGCGUGCCUUUUGUAGAAUGAGCCUGCGAGUUACCGUAUGUAGCGAGGUUAAGGGAUAGGAGUCCUGGAGCCGUAGGGAAACCGAGUCUGAAUAGGGCGUUAGUUACAUGUGGUAGACCCGAAACCAAGUGAUCUAUCCAUGUCCAGGUUGAAACCUGAGUAAAAUCAGGUGGAGGACCGAACCUAAAUCCGCUGAAAAGGGUUGGGAUGAGGUGUGGAUUGGAGUGAAAGGCUAAACAAACUUGGAGAUAGCUGGCACUCCCCGAAAUAGCUUUAGGGCUAGCCUUACGGGAAUUGUCGCGGAGGUAGAGCACUGAAUGGAUGCGGGCCCUUCACCGGGUACUAAGUUCAACCAAACUCCGAAUGCCGCCGACACAAUCUGUAGGAGUCAGACUACGGCUGAUAAGGGCCGUGGUCAAAAGGGAAAGAGCCCAGACCGUCAGCUAAGGUCCCAAAGAUACGCCAAGUGGGAAAGGAAGUUCGAUUGCGAAGACAGCCAGGAGGUUGGCUUAGAAGCAGCCACUCCUUAAAAGAGUGCGUAAUAGCUCACUGGUCGAGUAGUCGAGCGCCGAUAAUGUAACGGGGCUAAGCGUAUCACCGAAGCUACGGCAUAGUGCAUUAAUUGUGCUGUGGGUAGGGGAGCAUUCCGUGAACGGGUGAAGGUCAAUUGUAAAGUUGGCUGGACGGGACGGAAGAGAGAAUGCAGGCAUGAGUAACGAAAAGACGGGUGAAAUUCCCGUCCGCCGAAAGCCUAAGGUUUCCAGGGUAAAGGUCAUCUACCCAAGGGUUAGUCGGCCCCUAAGACGAGGCUGAAAAGCGUAGUCGAUGGGAAACGGGUUAAUAUUCCCGUACCUCUUUGUGUUUCGAAGGAAUGAAGCAUAGGGUGAAGCGCGUCCGGGCGAUGGUAGUCCCGGUCUAAACGUUAAGCUGAAGAGGCUGCUAGGCAAAUCCGGCAGCUGAGGUGAGACGUGAAAGCGAGUGAUGCUACGGCAAAGCGAAGCGCGUGUAGUCGUCGUGCCAAGAAAUAGUUUCUAAGGUAAGACACAGAGGGACCGUACCGCAAACCGACACAGGUAGGCGAGCUGAAUAUGCUAAGGCGCUCGGAAGAAUUCGCGUUAAGGAACUCGGCAAAUUACAUACGUAACUUCGGGAUAAGUAUGGCCACUGGGGGAUUGUAAAGUUUCUUGGUGGUUGCAGUGAAAUGGCCCAAGCGACUGUUUACCAAAAACACAAGUAUAUGCGAACCAGCAAUGGGAAGUAUAUGGACUGACACCUGCCCGGUGCUGGAAGGUUAAGAGGAGUUGUUAGCUUUUAGCGAAGCAAUGAAUUGAAGCCCCAGUAAACGGCGGCCGUAACUAUAACGGUCCUAAGGUAGCGAAAUUCCUUGUCGGGUAAGUUCCGACCCGCACGAAUGGUGCAACGACUUGGGCGCUGUCUCAACGCGAAAUCCGGUGAAAUUGAAAUAUCGGUGAAGAUGCCGAUUACUUGUGGUUAGACGGAGAGACCCCGUGAACCUUUACUUUAGCUUGAUGCUGGAACUUGGGCUAGGAUGUGUAGGAUAGGUGGGAGGCUGAGAAGCGUGGUCGUCAGGCUGCGCAGAGCCGUUGGUGAAAUACCACCCUUUCUCGUUCAAUUUUCUAACACUUGCCGUGAAGCCGGCUGGUGGACAGUGUCUGGUGGGAAGUUUGGCUGGGGCGGUCGCCUCCUAAAGAGUAACGGAGGCGCGCGAAGGUCACCUUAGGGCGGUUGGAAAUCGUCUGUCAAGUGUAAAGGCACAAGGUGGCUUAACUGCGAGACUUACAAGUCGAGCAGAUACGAAAGUAGGUCUUAGUGAUCUGGCGGUAGCGAGUGGAAGCGCCGUCACUUAACGGAUAAAAGGUACUCCGGGGAUAACAGGCUGAUUUUGCCCAAGAGUUCAUAUCGACGGCAAAGUUUGGCACCUCGAUGUCGGCUCAUCGCAUCCUGGGGCUGGAGCAAGUCCCAAGGGUUUGGCUGUUCGCCAAUUAAAGCGGUACGUGAGCUGGGUUCAGAACGUCGUGAGACAGUUCGGUCCCUAUCUGCCACAAGCGUUGGAUGUUUGAGGGGUUCUGCUUCUAGUACGAGAGGACCGAGGUGGACGAACCGCUGGUGUACCAGUUGUCGUGCCAACGGCAGUUGCUGGGUAGCUACGUUCGGAAGGGAUAACCGCUGAAAGCAUCUAAGUGGGAAACCCUCCUCAAGAUGAGACAUCCCUUGUCCUUAAAGGACACUAAAGGAACCAGGAAGAUUACCUGGUCGAUAGGCUGGCGGUCGAAGCGUGGUAACAUGUGUAGCCGACCAGUACUAAUCAGCCGUGAGGCUUGACC
rnacentral:rRNA from 1 species